GACUCUGAGGGAUGCCGGGAGGAAGGAGUUGGAUAAGGAAUUAAAAAUCUGCUUUGAUAUUAGGUUGAAGACUCCAGCCUCUAUCUUGAUGUGUUGGAAAAAAACUGAUGAAUUUGGGCAGUGAUUGCGGAACAAUGACAAGUCAAAAUACAGAAGUGAGAUAGAGGGCUUGAUGACAUGGGCAAUGAGAACAACUUCGGUAAAACUCAGAAAGAAAGGAGGAGAACACGCCCCCAUCUACAUCAAUCGAACUGAGGUUGAGAGGGUGGAGACCAUUAAGUUCCUCGGAGUGACAAUAACUGACAACCUGUCUUGGACUCCCACAUAGAUACAAUAGUCAAGAAGGCAGAACAAUGCCUGUUCUUCCUCAGGCAGCUCAGGAAAUUUGGCAUGUCCACAAGAACCCUCACCAACCCCUCCGAUGCACCAUUGAAAGCAUACCUUCCGGAUGCAUAACGGCCUGGUACGGCAACUGCUCUGCCCAGGAUGAUAAGAAACUACAGAAGGUGGUGUGCACAGCCCAGACCAUCACUGAAGCCAACCUUCCAUUUACGCAGUUCGUUGCCACGGAAAGGCUGUCAACAUCAUCAAAGACCUAUCAUAAUGAUCUCCUACAACCUUGUCUGUCAGGCAGAAGAUACAGAAGCCUUAACGCAUGCACCAGCAGACACACAAAGAGACAAGACAAGACAUAAAUAUCAUGAUUGGAAAAGGAACAAAGAAGUCGGUGAAGCUUAGUCCUGGCACUAGUGUGGAUUGAAGCGUCCCCGUAUAUUGUUUUCCUUCAGCUCCUUCCAGUGUUUUGAUGAGGACACGAGUUUGACGACAAACCAAUUCUCAACUGUUUCAUUUGCUGGCUGAAGAUUCACCUUUUCUGGGUCUCUGAAGGGUCCUUUCAAAAAGGGAAUUUACAGGGUGAGCAAUAAAGAGUAAUUAGCUACUCAGAAUGUUUGUUUUAUUUCUCUGCUCACAGAAGAAAGGGAACUGAAUGGUUCUACUUGUAUUAUGCAAGCACACAGCUGUAGCCACUCACUCAGGAGCAAAUCAAGAAGUUGUUACUAUGCUGAUUAUUCCUGAACACAUACACACAAUUGAUCCUGAUUGAAAAACCAAUUAAAAGUCUAUCAGUGGGCAGAACUGUCUAGAAUA